AUACCUUUCUCGGCCUUUUGGCUAAGAUCAAGUGUAGUAUCUGUUCUUAUCAGUUUAAUAUCUGAUACGUGAGCCAAUGGUUCACACGAUAUUAACUUAAUUUUUCUAGAGGAAAGGCCCAUCAAAGUAGCUUGCUACUUGGGUCUUUGAUUGUCGCCUUGGUACUGCACUAUUACCUUGGCCUGGCACACUCCAC
rnacentral:snRNA from 1 species